GUCUUGAAUUCUUAAUUUAUUUCCAUUUUGUUUAUUGAGUAGAUUUUUCAACUUAAAUUCAUGUUUGCAAGGUACAUAUACAUUUAACAUGAUAAAAAUAUUCAAAUAGUGCAAAGGUGCAUAUCCUUGGAGUACUUCUUCCUUCUACUCUGUUCUCUCUUGGCUGCCUACUUCCUCUCUUUGGAGGAAACCAAUUACCAAGGUCUUGUGCAUCUCUCCACAGACAGUUAUGCAAGUAUACAAAUAUGUCUACGUACAUUUAUCUUGGACACAGAGAUGUAGGACCAGAUCCCUUUUCAUGAAAGGACUUGUUGCUCCAGCUUCUAUGAGUGCUGUCCAUAGACACAGUCUUUAGCUGUCAGCCCCAUUCAGAGAUCAUCUCUGCUAUAGAGCUGCUUACCCAAGGCCAUGAUCUUCCCAGGGCAGCCCACAUCUAAUGACUCAAAGAGAAGGCUAUUUCAGCCUGACACUGGCCAUUUGUGAUGGAAAAAUUUAAUUCCAGAAUUCUUUCUUCACAGGGUGACUUAUCCCUCUGUUCAACACUGCUUCUGCACCCCCACCUGCCACAGACCUUGAAGAUCUUGAAAGAAAGGGCCAGAUACCAUGCUUUGCUCAACAAAGUCCUUCCACGAGAGAUUGCUGUGGGAACAUUCAAGGAGAUAAGUGGAGUAGAACCAAGCGACGUCCUUGGGAACGUUUCCUGUAAAGAUUUAAGUCAGUGGAAAAAUACGGAUUGUAGAUACAAUUCAAAAGUAUCCUAGGAAGGGGAAAUGACCCUCACAUGGGGCCCUUUGAGCCUUGGAAGUCCUAGGCAGCUCUUAUCAAACAUAUUAACAUAUACCCACAACAGUCCCAAUUUGGAGGCAAAAACAUUUGAAAGGCUCUUUCUAAUUUGGCUUUCAAAAUUAUUUCCGACGGGUAACUUCUUUGAUUCACACUCGUUACAACUUCUCAGCAAUCGUUGGGUACAGAAGGAGAAAUUUUAGGUCGGAAAAUCCAAUCCGCACGUUGUUUUUCAUUGUAAUGAGAUCCUUAUGAGUAUUAACUUUCAUAAUUGAUGAAGUUGACAGAUGCUGUAAUUUGCAGCGAUGCCAGUCAACAUUUUAAGAUUCUGAUUUCACAACUUCCAGAGUUUGGAAGCAUAACAUUUCUUUCUUUCUUUCUUCCUCUUUUUCCCCAGGUCGCAGGUAUUUUAAUUGGUUCUGCAAAUGUUCUCGCUGUGAGCCCAGGUGCUAAGGCCCGUAGUGCCUAAUGGGCAGAGCCACCCUGCUCGCUCCAGGCCCCGGGGGCAAGUGCGAUCCAGCUUUAUGCUGAACAGGGCAAGCUUAUUUUCUCUGUUGAAACCAAGUAUUUCUGUGGAGGAUUAGUUGGAUACAGCCUUCCUCGGGGAACCAGCUGUUUUUGUAAGUGAAUGCUUAGUUCAAUCAGGAGGUGUGGCUGGAGGGGAGACAUUGUCCUUCUCGAAAUCUGUGAAAGGUCACCAGAUGUAGGCCCUCAUUUAAAAAACAGCUCAAAGUCUGUUUUUUAAAAUAUUUUAUUUAUUUAUUCAUGAGAGACACAGAGAGAGAAGCAGAGACACAGGCAGAGGGAGCCCAACGUGGGAUUCGAUCCCAGGACCCCAGGAUCACGACCUGAGCCAAAGGCAGACGCUCAACCGCUGAACCCCCUGGGGGGGGACCCUCAGCUCAAAGUCUAUUAACACUCAGCCCCAGAUACAAGAUCCAGGAUCAAAACUACUGUUUUCUGUCACGAGCCAGUUCUUCUGGCACGAAUGUCCCAGCUUCUUUGACACCUGCCUUAGAACCUUUUCUCUUUCAUUCUCAGGUCCCCCUGGUGCCAGAUGUCACCUAUCACACCCCUGGGGACUGGCUGAAAGAUCUUAUCUUUGAACGAAGAGCAGGCAAAGGUAAAAACAGACAGAGGUGAAAGACAUCACUUAACCUG
rnacentral:lncRNA from 1 species